CAAAACCUCUCCGGCGGGACAUUUCAGCGCAGCCUCCAGGGACAUUACGAGGGCAUCUGAAACUGGCGUAUACUAUGGUAUGUAAUCUGUAACUAGAGGGAUAUCGACCUCCGUUCAAUUGAAGCCACCUCUCAGCUUUUCAAAAGGGUAUCCGCGAAAAAAAAAAAAAAAAAAAAAACUUAUAUACAGCUCAUCUCAACCCCAUAUUCAGACCUAGUUCCCCAACCUUGUUGCUAAUGAAUCUCCGGUAACAGUGCUCCGUAUAUUUAACUAUUUCACAACAAAAUUGCAGCUCUCCGGCAAAUCAUAUCGCAUCUUCAGGGUCCUGCCGCGACUCGAAUGUGGGCCUCUCGUAAACAUUUGCAUUGGGGUGAACCCUCAGCGGUCCAGAGGGAAAAAAAAAAAAGAAAAAGAAA
rnacentral:sRNA from 2 species